rnacentral:rRNA from 1 species
UACGGGGGGGGGCAAGCGUUGUUCGGAAUUACUGGGCGUAAAGGGCUCGUAGGUGGCCAACUAAGUCAAUCGUGAAAUCCCUCGGCUUAACCGGGGAACUGCGCUUGAUACUGGAUGGCUUGAGUUUGGGAGAGGGAUGCGGAAUUCCAGGUGUAGCGGUGAAAUGCGUAGAUAUCUGGAGGAACACCGGUGGCGAAGGCGGCAUCCUGGACCGGUAUUGACGCUGAGGCGCGAAAGCCAGGGAGGCAAACGGG